GCCUGGGUGGCUCAGUCGGUUGAGCGUCCGACUCUUGAUUUGGGCUCAGGUCAUGAUCCCAGGGUUGUGGGAUCAAGACCCAUUUCAGGCU
rnacentral:tRNA from 1 species